CCUACGGGAGGCAGCAGUGAGGAAUAUUGGUCAAUGGGCGGGAGCCUGAACCAGCCAAGUCGCGUGAGGGAAGACGGUCCUACGGAUUGUAAACCUCUUUUGCCGGGGAGCAACGGGGUCCGUGCGAGGGCCCGAUGAGAGUACCCGGAGAAAAAGCAUCGGCUAACUCCGUGACAGCAGACGCGGUAAUAAGGGGGAUGCGAGCGUUAGCCGGAUUUAUUGGGUGUAAAGGGUGAGUAGGCGGGCUUUUGAGUCAGCGAUCAAAUGUCGGGGCUCAACCCCGGCCUGCCGUUGAAACUGGCGGCCUCGAGUGGGCGAGAAGUAUGCGGAAUGCGUGGUGUAUCGGUGAAAUGCAUAGAUAUCACGCAGAACUCCGAUUGCGAAGGCAGCAUACCGGCGCCCGACUGACGCUGAGGCACGAAAGCGUGGGUAUCGAACAGGAUUAGAUACCCUUGUAGUC
rnacentral:rRNA from 1 species